rnacentral:tRNA from 1 species
AUUUAAGUAGCUUAUUUAAAGCAUGACAUUGAAGCUGUUAUGAAGGCCUCAUGGCCCUUAAAUA